rnacentral:misc_RNA from 1 species
AGUUUUGGGGGUGCAGGUAGGCAUGAUCCUAGUGAAGCAGUACGUGAUAGCGUAUGAGUGGUAUUUGGUUUGUGUGGUUGGCGGGCUCUCUGCUUGUGCAUUGAACCGUUCACUAGCAAACCUCUUCAUUGUUUGCUCCAAGUGCAUAAUGUGCCUUGGGCGAUGGGUGGUCCCUAUGUUGAAUUCCUAUUGACGGUAUUGAUUCUGUCCCUAGAAAGUGUUAAUUUUGCUUUGCCUCUCUUAAAAAGGAGGCCGAGCAAACACUAUAACUGAGWUCGUUAUCCCCUCAUCAAGCGAAAACAAGUGCGAUGAGACGGGAUCACGAUCUCAAGUUGGGCCCUUGGAUGCAGAAUGCUGUGUGGGGGGCGACAUGAAUUUGUCGCACACCCAAACUAGCGUUGUACGCUAACAAUGGAUGACAUUCGAGUGCGACUUGACCCUUUCUUAAUUGAGAGGCUUCAUGCGUGCCGAUGUCGACCGAGGAGUGCUACCUGGUUGAUCCUG